UACGUAGGGGGCGAGCGUUAUCCGGAUUUACUGGGCGUAAAGCGCGUUAAGGCGGUCGGCAAAGUUGGUUGUGAAAUCUCAGGGCUCAACCCUGAAAUUGCGACCAAUACUGGUCGACUAGAGUGCAAGAGAGGAAGGUGGAAUUCCCGGUGUAGUAGUGAAAUGCGUAGAUAUCGGGAGGAACACCAGUGGCGAAGGCGGACCUUCUGGCUUGUAACUGACGCUGUAGCGCGAAAGCGUGGGGAGCGAACCGG
rnacentral:rRNA from 1 species